rnacentral:rRNA from 1 species
AUUGAACGCUGGCGGCAUGCCUUACACAUGCAAGUCGAACGGCAGCACGGGAGCAAUCCUGGUGGCGAGUGGCGAACGGGUGAGUAAAGUAUCGGAACGUGCCCAGUCGUGGGGGAUAACGUAGCGAAAGUUACGCUAAUACCGCAUACGAUCUAUGAAUGAAAGCGGGGAUCGCAAGACCUCGCGCGAUUGGAGCGGACGAUAUCAGAUUAGGUAGUUGGUGGGGUAAAGGCUCACCAAGCCGACGAUCUGUAGCUGGUCUGAGAGGACGACCAGCCACACUGGGACUGAGACACGGCCCAGACUCCUACGGGAGGCAGCAGUGGGGAAUUUUGGACAAUGGGCGAAAGCCUGAUCCAGCCAUGCCGCGUGCAGGAUGAAGGCCUUCGGGUUGUAAACUGCUUUUGUACGGAACGAAAAGGUUUGGGCUAAUAAGCUGAGCUCAUGACGGUACCGUAAGAAUAAGCACCGGCUAACUACGUGCCAGCCGCCGCCGUAA